UAUCAGCUUUCGACGGUAUGGUAUUGGCUUACCGUGGCAGUGACGGUUAACGGGGGAUUAGGGUUCGAUUCCGGAGAGGGAGCCUGAGAAACGGCUACCACAUCUAAGGAAGGCAGCAGGCGCGCAAAUUACCCAAUUCUAACAGCAUAAGAGAGGUAGUGACAAGAAAUAACAAUACAAGGUAAUUAAAUUGCUUUGUAAUUGGAAUGAUAGAAAUUUAAACACUUUUUAAAGUAUCAAUUGGAGGGCAAGUCUGGUGCCAGCAGCCGCGGUAAUUCCAGCUCCAAUAGCGUAUAUUAAAAUUGUUGCAGUUAAAAAGCUCGUAGUUGAAUUUCUGUUAAAAAUAACCGGUCUGCUUUUAUUAAAAGUGGUAUCUUGGUGUGUUUUUAGCAAUAAUGUCCUUUGAAAUGUUUUUUACUUUAUUGUAAUAAGUCAUUAUUUUGAGGAUUUUUACUUUGAGAAAAUUAGAGUGUUUCUAGCAGGCUUACGCUUUUGAAUACUGCAGCAUGGAAUAAUAAGAUAGGAUUUUAGUUCUACAUUAUUGGUUUUAAGAACUAAAUUAAUGAUUGAUAGGG
rnacentral:rRNA from 1 species